UGCCUGGUGCCUUGCCAAUGUAGCUCUGCUUCCUUGGAUCUUGAUACGUCAAUAUUUAGAAUGGAGUGUGCAGUCAUGAAGUAAAAAUAGCAAACAGUCUGCACAAAAGGAACUGUCUUCAGUAAGUGUAUCAUAUAAACAGUAAAUCUUGCAGUGUGCUUACAGCCAGCUAACAGAAGCUUAUGCAAAUAUUCCAGCUGGCAAAUUGAAAACCUGUCAUGAGUGUCUAAUGAAGAAGGAAAAAACAGAGAAGAAUUAAUUUGUUAAGAAUAAUUUCAUCAAGCAGCAAAUGCCAAAGUUUGUCAAAUUGUAUUCUGAAUUUGAUUAUUUCCUGGAGAAAAGUGCCAGUUUGUAACGGGGGAUGGUUUUCAAACAUCCUAAGUAAAGAUAUGAACUACAUGCCAAUUAUUCUUAGGAAGCUCAGAGCAAGCAAAGUUGGCCAUACAUUACCUUGUGAUUUCAGCCAUCAUAGGACUGCCAUUUUCCAGGAGAGCCCAGGAGAGUCUUCCUCCCUCCGGGUAUUAUCUCCAAAGUUGUAGCUAUGGGGAGGGGCAAUAUGAGAGCCUUGCUUCUGCAGCUGCUGAUACCAUCUGGCUUGGCUCUCGCUGUGUCUUAUCGUGGACCUGGUUUGGAUGACUGCACCCUCUUCAGACUUUGGAUUGAAUUUGACCUGGCUUCUGUCUACGCUCCCUGACUGAUGACUACUCCCGGCUUCUGACUUCUGGAAUUUGCUGCUGCCUCUCGACCUGACCUUGGAUUCUCCUGACGACGGCUAUUCAUCAUCCCUUUGAAGCUUCGGCUUUAUCUGCACCGUGGAAGCAGUUUACUGCUCUUCUAGUUUGUUUGUUUUUAAGCCAGUUUGCUGUUUUUCUUUUGGGAACUGUCCCUUUAACACCGCAGAGCCGGCUGUCUGUUUUCAGAAACGGUUUGAAAAUAAAAUAAGCUUUUGCACUUUCUGUUAUACUCUGCAGCUUUUGGAAGGUUGCAAGCCUUCGUUUAUUUUGCAUGUUAUCUUGCAGUCAACUCUAUUUGUUUCUCCAAAGCUGAAUUGAAGCGUACUUAGUUUUUAUUGAAUGCCAGCAUGGGAAAAUAGCAUGGCUUGUUUUUGUGUUAUUUUUUACUUAUCUUCAGAAUAAACUCUGUUUUGUUUGUUAACUGGCGUCUGACUCUUGACAGGUAUAGUUCAAUAUAGUAAUAUAUAAUGCUAAUGUGUUAUGCUAAUAAUAUAAUAUAUUGUAUGUACAUACAGCUGCUCUGAGUCCCCUUCGGGGUAAGAAGGGUGGGAUAUAAAUGUAGUAAAUAAACACAGUAAAUAAAUAAUUAA